GAACGAAAAUACCAAGCUUGCUUGGUUGAUUAGUGGCGAACGGGUGAGUAACACGUGAGUAACCUGCCCCUUACUUUCUGGAUAACUGCUCGAAAGGGUAGCUAAUACGGGAUAUUCUGACCAUCCUGCAUGGGUUGGUUUGGAAAGGUUUUUUCUGGUGAGGGAUGGGCUCGCGGCCUAUCAGCUUGUUGGUGGGGUGAUGGCCUACCAAGGCUUUGACGGGUAGCCGGCCUGAGAGGGUGGACGGUCACACUGGGACUGAGAUACGGCCCAGACUCCUACGGGAGGCAGCAGUGGGGAAUAUUGCACAAUGGGCGCAAGCCUGAUGCAGCGACGCCGCGUGAGGGAUGAAGGCCUUCGGGUUGUAAACCUCUUUCGUCAGGGAACAAGGCAUUGCCUUUUUUGGUGGUGUUGAGGGUACCUGGAUAAGAAGCGCCGGCUAACUACGUGCCAGCAGCCGCGGUAAUACGUAGGGCGCAAGCGUUGUCCGGAAUUAUUGGGCGUAAAGAGCUCGUAGGCGGCUGGUCGCGUCUGUCGUGAAAACUUCCGGCUCAACCGGGGGCUUGCGGUGGGUACGGGCCGGCUAGAGUGCGGUAGGGGUAACUGGAACUCCUGGUGUAGCGGUGGAAUGCGCAGAUAUCAGGAAGAACACCGAUGGCGAAGGCAGGUUACUGGGCCGUUACUGACGCUGAGGAGCGAAAGCGUGGGGAGCGAACAGGAUUAGAUACCCUGGUAGUCCACGCUGUAAACGUUGGGCACUAGGUGUGAGGCUCCUUUCACGGGGGUUUUGCGCCGUAGCUAACG
rnacentral:rRNA from 1 species